UACGAGGGGGGCAAGCGUUGUUCGGAAUUAUUGGGCGUAAAGGGCGCGUAGGCGGUGCGGUAAGUCUGAUGUGAAAUCUCCGGGCUCAACUGGGAGCUUGCAGGCGAAACUGCCGUGCUGGAGUGUGGGAGAGGUGCGUGGAAUUCCUGGUGUAGCGGUGAAAUUCUUAGAUAUUAGGAGGAACACCGGUGGCGAAAGCGAUCAUCUGGGCUACAACUGACACUGAGACGCGAAAGCGUGGGGAGCAAACAGG
rnacentral:rRNA from 1 species